AUUUGAACGCUGGCGGCAGGCUUAACUCAUGCAAGUCGNGCGGAAACGAUNCCCGCUUGCUGGUAGGCGUCNAGCGGCGGACGGGUGAGUAACACUUAGGAAUCUACCUAGUAGUGGGGGAUAGCUCGGGGAAACUCGAAUUAAUACCGCAUACGUCCUACGGGAGAAAGGGGGCAACUUGUUGCUCUCNCUAUUAGAUGAGCCUAAGUCNGAUUAGCUAGUUGGUGGGGUAAAGGCCUACCAAGGCGACNAUCUGUAGCUGGUCUGANAGGAUGAUCAGCCACACCGGGACUGAGACACNGCCCGGACUCCUACNGGAGGCAGCAGUGGGGAAUAUUGGACAAUGGGGGCAACCCUGAUCCAUCCAUGCCGCGUGUGUGAAGAANGCCUUUUGGUUGUAAAGCACUUUAANCAGUGAAGAAGACCUAACNGUUAAUACCCGUUAGCGAUGACAUUANCUGCAGAAUAAGCACCGGCUAACUNUNUGCCANCANCCNCGGNUAAUA
rnacentral:rRNA from 1 species